GUUUCAGAUGAACCCUUGAUGGGUUGAAGUAGUCCUGUGCGUCGGUUACGAAGACGAUCUCGGAGCGUUUCAGAUGAACCCUUGAUGGGUUGAAGUGUUCGCGGGGAUGCGCCAAGACGCCAUCCCGCUGGUUUCAGAUGAACCCUUGUUGGGUUGAAGUGAUAGUCAUGGAUAACAUAAGGCAA
rnacentral:misc_RNA from 1 species